UACGUAGGUGACCAGCGUUGUCCGGAUUUACUGGGCGUAAAGAGCGCGCAGGCGGUCGUUCAAGUCGAGUGUGAAAGCCCCGGGCUCAACCCGGGAAGUGCACUCGAUACUGUCGAGCUAGAGUAUCGGAGAGGUUGGUGGAAUUCCUGGUGUAGCGGUGGAAUGCGCAGAUAUCAGGAGGAACACCAAUAGCGAAGGCAGCUCGCUGGGACGGUACUGACACUAAGGCGCGAAAGCGUGGGGAGCGAACAGG
rnacentral:rRNA from 1 species